AUAGCGCCAGGCGCAUGGCUCUUCGGGAGGCGCUGAGAUUCCGGGCCCGGCGGCCGCGGGGAGCGGGUGCCAGUUAGGAACGGGGUUUCUGAUCUCCUCGUUUGCGUUUUGGGGGUUCUUUUUGUUCAUAGCAGCAGGACAGCCUCUUCUCGGCUUCAGAAACCGGACAAAUAAGAUAACGCGCCGCUCCCUCGCGGGUUGCGGGGCAGAGCUGAUGGUGUGACCCUGGACUGGUCCCCGUCGGUCCCUUUCCGGUGUUUUGCGUUUCUCUCUCCUUGCCCUCGGCUUACGUGACGUUACUAGACGAUAUGUUUAAAAUUUAAGUUAAAGAAAUGAGACCCUAGCUGCCUGAAAACCGAGACCCAGCCCGUUUGGUACAGCCACGACGCCGCCAAGCUCUCCAGCGCCGGAGGAGGCCCCGAGGUUCGCUGCCCCAGGCCCGGAGUCCAGCCAGGACACCUCUCCCUGACGAUCCCGAGCCCAACCCUAACAGCAAGUACAGUUCUGAGAAUUGUGGAACUUCAUCCUUUCAGUUUAAGACACUCCUGCCUUUGCUUGAUGGAAUCUUGUCAACAGAAAAAGGACAGGCCUGGGAAGACCCAGCUAUCUUGUUAGAAAGACCAAAGUCAUCCCAAGUGAAAAGCCCCAGAACAGCAAACGGCAACAGAUGGUUAAAUAUCUUCCUGGCCGAGGAGUUCCACAUCCACACGAGGGAAAACAGAAGACGAUCCUGAGCUUUAAUUAGCAGUCUCCUGCCACCCAGAGUGCACAGUUGAAGGGCUCUCCUGUCCUGUCCUGAGCCCUCAGCAGGCCUGGCCAGGAGAGUGAACCCUGGAGGGAGGAAGAGAAUUGGAGGUGGUCCGCAGCGUGUUUGUGGGAAACCCAGGGACUCCCCAGAAGGGACUGGCUGCCUCCUGGAGCUCAGUCGUGUCCAACUUUUGCGACCCCAUGGACUGCAGCCCAUCAGGCUCCUCUGUCAAUGGGAUUCUCCAGUGAUGACCCAGGAACUCUGGAACUGUCCAUCGGUCCAUACGGAUUCAACUGAAGCUCACCAUGGGGGAAGUGGGAGCCGCCCAAACAUGGCAUCUAAGAGUCUUCAGAGUGUCAAGGAAGGAGCUGUGUACCACGAGGACCCUGCUGGCUUCCAGAACUGCCCUGUUACUGCAGGACAGAUAGGACCUGCCCUCAAGAACUUUGCAAGGGCCUCAGGUUCCAUAUGAGGGCUUGGUGCCAUCCUGAUCUUUGAUUCCCCAUCUCACUUGUAUUCCUUUCCAUUUCUGCUAAAUGCCGAAGGACCAAGUGGGAGCCAUUGAUGUUGUUUUCCCUGCUGACUAAAUGCACAGAUCAGCUUCUUUCUCAAGGCAUUCAAGGGCUGUGUGAUCUAAACUUUGCAGACCCUCUGGUAUCUUUUUCUGUCUCUCAGUUUAAACGCUUUGCCCUGGUCAGGCAGUGUCUGAUGUCUCAUUUCCAACUGGACUCCUUUGAGCCUGUAGCUCUUGCCUCUGACGGUAUCAUGCACCCCAUCCCAGUCUGCUCAUUCUUUGAGACUCAGGCGCAGAUCAAACUUCUUGUGAAAGCUCUUCUGGCUUUUGCGCCCUUGCUUCUUUUCAGGGAUCUAAACUGGGAGCCCUGAGAGUGUUUAAGGGCUGAGAACUCAGAUGGGAACCUUAGUGUUAAUUCAUGUCCAUAAACACGUUGACUUCCCAGACCACUCCAUCAACUUCUGAAUGAUGGGUACUUUGUCCUCCUGUCUUCUCUGAGACGGUCAGCACAGGGCAGGAUGCAGGAAUGCAAUCAGCUCACGUGGCUUAGCAGCGGGCUGCUCUUGUUUAUUCUGUUGACUCUUCAUUUUCAUUUGCAGAGAAUGAAGUCUGAAGUAUCCCAGCCUUGGAGCUUAAGGGGUGCUGGGCAGGCAUUUGCUACAUUCUGACGUCCAGGCGGGGGCAUGACCAACCCUCUGAGCAGAUUUCCACGCACCCCUUCUUUUCCCACGCACCCCUUCCUGGCAGCCUCUGUUGGUUGCCCCCUCUUGGGAACUGUAUUUGGCAGAAUUCGAGGGAGUCUUUCAUAUGCUUGGCCAUAGCCUCCACCCUGGAGGGCCCUGUAUACAGUCUCCCCGAUGCUAGGUCCUGGGGGUAAAAGGGAAACUGCCAAGAGGAAGACUCGGACCCUGCCAUUGGAUGCAUGGUACAUGGUUUCCAACCCGAGGGCAGUGCUGGGAGGAUAGGAGAUUUGGACAGACAAGGAGACCCUGGGAGUGUCCUUCCAGAUGUGGGAGAGGAGCUGAGGCUGGUUUCCUUUUGCCUCUAGUAUAAUUCCUUUGUGAUCUCUUCUCUCUGGACCUCUGUUUUCUCCUCUGUCAAAUGGGUUUAACCAACUGCUCAUUGAUCUACAGGAUUGUGGGAUAAUGAUUUGAGGUGAUGUGAGGGGAAAUACAAUUUUGAAGUUGACAGGCAGCCUCUGAUUGAAGGAUCAGACCC
ensembl:lncRNA